GGUUAAGCGACUAAGCGUACACGGUGGAUGCCCUGGCAGUCAGAGGCGAUGAAGGACGUGCUAAUCUGCGAAAAGCGUCGGUAAGGUGAUAUGAACCGUUAUAACCGGCGAUGUCCGAAUGGGGAAACCCAGUGCAAUUCGUUGCACUAUCGUUAACUGAAUACAUAGGUUAACGAGGCGAACCGGGGGAACUGAAACAUCUAAGUACCCCGAGGAAAAGAAAUCAACCGAGAUUCCCCCAGUAGCGGCGAGCGAACGGGGAGCAGCCCAGAGUCUGAAUCAGCUUGUGUGUUAGUGGAACGGUCUGGAAAGUCCGACGGUACAGGGUGAUAGUCCCGUACACCAAAAUGCACAGGUUGUGAACUCGAAGAGUAGGGCGGGACACGUGGUAUCCUGUCUGAAUAUGGGGGGACCAUCCUCCAAGGCUAAAUACUCCUGACUGACCGAUAGUGAACCAGUACCGUGAGGGAAAGGCGAAAAGAACCCCGGCGAGGGGAGUGAAAAAGAACCUGAAACCGUGUACGUACAAGCAGUGGGAGCACCUUCGGGUGUGACUGCGUACCUUUUGUAUAAUGGGUCAGCGACUUAUAUUCUGUAGCAAGGUUAACCGUAUAGGGGAGCCGCAGGGAAACCGAGUCUUAACUGGGCGUUAAGUUGCAGGGUAUAGACCCGAAACCCGGUGAUCUAGCCAUGGGCAGGUUGAAGGUUGGGUAACACUAACUGGAGGACCGAACCGACUAAUGUUGAAAAAUUAGCGGAUGACUUGUGGCUGGGGGUGAAAGGCCAAUCAAACCGGGAGAUAGCUGGUUCUCCCCGAAAGCUAUUUAGGUAGCGCCUCGUGAACUCAUCUUCGGGGGUAGAGCACUGUUUCGGCUAGGGGGUCAUCCCGACUUACCAACCCGAUGCAAACUACGAAUACCGAAGAAUGUUAUCACGGGAGACACACGGCGGGUGCUAACGUCCGUCGUGAAGAGGGAAACAACCCAGACCGCCAGCUAAGGUCCCAAAGUCAUGGUUAAGUGGGAAACGAUGUGGGAAGGCACAGACAGCCAGGAUGUUGGCUUAGAAGCAGCCAUCAUUUAAAGAAAGCGUAAUAGCUCACUGGUCGAGUCGGCCUGCGCGGAAGAUGUAACGGGGCUAAACCAUGCACCGAAGCUGCGGCAGCGACACUAUGUGUUGUUGGGUAGGGGAGCGUUCUGUAAGCCUGCGAAGGUGUGCUGUGAGGCAUGCUGGAGGUAUCAGAAGUGCGAAUGCUGACAUAAGUAACGAUAAAGCGGGUGAAAAGCCCGCUCGCCGGAAGACCAAGGGUUCCUGUCCAACGUUAAUCGGGGCAGGGUGAGUCGACCCCUAAGGCGAGGCCGAAAGGCGUAGUCGAUGGGAAACAGGUUAAUAUUCCUGUACUUGGUGUUACUGCGAAGGGGGGACGGAGAAGGCUAUGUUAGCCGGGCGACGGUUGUCCCGGUUUAAGCAUGUAGGCUGAUUGUCCAGGCAAAUCCGGAUAAUCAAGGCUGAGGUGUGAUGACGAGGCACUACGGUGCUGAAGUAACAAAUGCCCUGCUUCCAGGAAAAGCCUCUAAGCAUCAGGUAACAUCAAAUCGUACCCCAAACCGACACAGGUGGUCAGGUAGAGAAUACCAAGGCGCUUGAGAGAACUCGGGUGAAGGAACUAGGCAAAAUGGUGCCGUAACUUCGGGAGAAGGCACGCUGGUGUGUAGGUGAAGUCCCUGCGGAUGGAGCUGAGACCAGUCGAAGAUACCAGCUGGCUGCAACUGUUUAUUAAAAACACAGCACUGUGCAAACACGAAAGUGGACGUAUACGGUGUGACGCCUGCCCGGUGCCGGAAGGUUAAUUGAUGGGGUUAUCCGUAAGGAGAAGCUCUUGAUCGAAGCCCCGGUAAACGGCGGCCGUAACUAUAACGGUCCUAAGGUAGCGAAAUUCCUUGUCGGGUAAGUUCCGACCUGCACGAAUGGCGUAAUGAUGGCCAGGCUGUCUCCACCCGAGACUCAGUGAAAUUGAACUCGCUGUGAAGAUGCAGUGUACCCGCGGCAAGACGGAAAGACCCCGUGAACCUUUACUAUAGCUUGACACUGAACAUUGAGCCUUGAUGUGUAGGAUAGGUGGGAGGCUUUGAAGCGUGGACGCCAGUCUGCGUGGAGCCAACCUUGAAAUACCACCCUUUAAUGUUUGAUGUUCUAACGUUGGCCCCU
rnacentral:rRNA from 1 species